rnacentral:rRNA from 1 species
ACGAAAGUCUGACGGAGCAACGCCGCGUGAGUGAAGAAGGUUUUCGGAUCGUAAAGCUCUGUCUUCAGGGACGAAUGUGCUUAAUGUGAAUAAUGUUAAGUAAUGACGGUACCUGAGGAGGAAGCCACGGCUAACUACGUGCCAGCAGCCGCGGUAAUACGUAGGUGGCAAGCGUUGUCCGGAAUUAUUGGGCGUAAAGCGCGCGCAGGCGGGAAUGUAAGUCUGUCUUAAAAGUUCGGGGCUCAACCCCGUGAUGGGAUGGAAACUACAUUUCUUGAGUGCAGGAGAGGAAAGUGGAAUUCCUAGUGUAGCGGUGAAAUGCGUAGAUAUUAGGAGGAACACCAGUGGCGAAGGCGACUUUCUGGACUGUGUCUGACGCUGAGGCGCGAAAGCCAGGGGAGUGAACAGGAUUAGAUACCCCGGUAAUCCUGGCCGUAAACGAUGGGUACUAGGUGUAGGAGGUAUCGACCCCUUCUGUGCCGGAGUUAACGCAAUAAGUACCCCGCCUGGGGAGU